rnacentral:rRNA from 1 species
GGACCCGCACAAGUAGUGGAGCAUGUGGUUUAAUUCGAAGAUACGCGCAGAACCUUACCAACACUUGACAUGUUCGUCGCGACUCUAAGAGAUUAGAGUUUUCGGUUCGGCCGGACGAAACACAGGUGCUGCAUGGCUGUCGUCAGCUCGUGUCGUGAGAUGUUGGGUUAAGUCCCGCAACGAGCGCAACCCUCACUUUUAGUUGCCAUCAUUUAGUUGGGCACUCUGAAAGAACUGCCAGUGAUAAGCUGGAGGAAGGUGGGGAUGACGUCAAGUCCUCAUGGCCCUUACGUGUUGGGCUACACACGUGCUACAAUGGUAUCUACAACAGGAAGCAAAACUGCGAGGUUAAGCAAAUCCUUAAAAGAUACCUCAGUUCGGAUUGCACUCUGCAACUCGAGUGCAUGAAGCUGGAAUCGCUAGUAAUCG